CGGCAUGCCUUANACAUGCAAGUCGAACGGCAGCACGGGAGCAAUCCUGGUGGCGAGUGGCGAACGGGUGAGUAAUAUAUCGGAACGUGCCCGGUCGUGGGGGAUAACGUAGCGAAAGCUACGCUAAUACCGCAUACGAUCUACGGAUGAAANCGGGGGAUCGCAAGACCUCGCGCGAUUGGAGCGGCCGAUAUCAGAUUAGGUAGUUGGUGAGGUAAAGGCUCACCAAGCCGACGAUCUGUAGCUGGUCUGAGAGGACGACCAGCCACACUGGGACCUGAGACACGGCCCAGACUCCUACGGGAGGCAGCAGUGGGGAAUUUUGGACAAUGGGCGCAAGCCUGAUCCAGCAAUGCCGCGUGCAGGAUGAAGGCCUUCGGGUUGUAAACUGCUUUUGUACGGAACGAAACGGUGAGCUCUAAUACAGUUUGCUAAUGACGGUACCGUAAGAAUAAGCACCGGCUAACUACGUG
rnacentral:rRNA from 1 species